rnacentral:rRNA from 1 species
AUUGAACGCUGGCGGCAUGCCUUACACAUGCAAGUCGAACGGCAGCAUGGGUGCUUGCACCUGAUGGCGAGUGGCGAACGGGUGAGUAAUGCAUCGGAACGUACCCGGAAGUGGGGGAUAACGUAGCGAAAGUUACGCUAAUACCGCAUAUUCUGUGAGCAGGAAAGCGGGGGAUCGCAAGACCUCGCGCUUCCGGAGCGGCCGAUGUCGGAUUAGCUAGUUGGCGGGGUAAAGGCCCACCAAGGCAACGAUCCGUAGCGGGUCUGAGAGGAUGAUCCGCCACACUGGGACUGAGACACGGCCCAGACUCCUACGGGAGGCAGCAGUGGGGAAUUUUGGACAAUGGGCGCAAGCCUGAUCCAGCCAUGCCGCGUGAGUGAAGAAGGCCUCGGUUGUAAGCUCUUCGGUCGGGAGGAAGUACGCAUCUCCUAAUACGGGUGGUGGAGUGACGGUACCGAACUAAGAAGACACCGGCUAACUACGUAGCCACGCACG